rnacentral:rRNA from 1 species
GAUGAACGCUGGCGGCGUGCCUAAUACAUGCAAGUCGAGCGAACAGACGAGGAGCUUGCUCCUCUGACGUUAGCGGCGGACGGGUGAGUAACACGUGGAUAACCUACCUAUAAGACUGGGAUAACUUCGGGAAACCGGAGCUAAUACCGGAUAAUAUAUUGAACCGCAUGGUUCAAUAGUGAAAGACGGUUUUGCUGUCACUUAUAGAUGGAUCCGCGCCGCAUUAGCUAGUUGGUAAGGUAACGGCUUACCAAGGCAACGAUGCGUAGCCGACCUGAGAGGGUGAUCGGCCACACUGGAACUGAGACACGGUCCAGACCCCUACGGGAGGCGGCAGUAGGGAAUCUUCCGCAAUGGGCGAAAGCCUGACGGAGCAACGCCGCGUGAGUGAUGAAGGUCUUCGGAUCGUAAAACUCUGUUAUUAGGGAAGAACAAAUGUGUAAGUAACUAUGCACGUCUUGACGGUACCUAAUCAGAAAGCCACGGCUAACUACGUG